GGCCUGGCGUUUGGUCUUGCUGUGGUUUGCAGUCCUUGGGUCGUCUGGCAUAAACCCAUCUUUUGCUGUGGAAAAACCAUGUCUUUGUACUUCCCAAGCCCUUGUGAAAAGGGGAAACCUCUUCUUUUGAUUAUGGCCUUUCAGAAACAGCCUCAUUGUGAUCCUGGGACAAGGAACUCUGGAACACAGAAUCGACUGUUGACACCUGAUUUCUAUUUGGCAGAUGACCAGAUAGAAUCAGCAUUAACAACGUGCAGAAAAUGCCAAACGCGGAGGAAAUGACAAAUGUGCCAGAUGAUUUAAUAUCGAGC